rnacentral:rRNA from 1 species
GUGGGGAAUUUUGGACAAUGGGGGAAACCCUGAUCCAGCCAUGCCGCGUGCAGGAUGAAGGCCUUCGGGUUGUAAACUGCUUUUGUACGGAACGAAAAGGUCCUUUCUAAUAAAGAGGGCUCAUGACGGUACCGUAAGAAUAAGCACCGGCUAACUACGUGCCAGCAGCCGCGGUAAUACGUAGGGUGCGAGCGUUAAUCGGAAUUACUGGGCGUAAAGCGUGCGCAGGCGGUUAUAUAAGACAGAUGUGAAAUCCCCGGGCUCAACCUGGGAACUGCAUUAGUGACUGUAUAGCUGGAGUGCGGCAGAGGGGGAUGGAAUUCCGCGUGUAGCAGUGAAAUGCGUAGAUAUGCGGAGGAACACCGAUGGCGAAGGCAAUCCCCUGGGCCUGCACUGACGCUCAUGCACGAAAGCGUGGGGAGCAAACAGGAUUAGAAACCCGGUAGUCC